CCCCACUUGCCAAUCGGCCCACACUAUAUCGCCACUAUAUAAAAAAAAAAAAUCGUCACACUCUUGUUUACCGACUCUCCCUACUUUUAAAAAAGUGUAAAAUCAAAUUGAACAAUCAGUCUGAUAUCUCACUUAUUAACGAAAAAGGUUUAAACCCCACUGAAUAAAGGUUUGCCAACUCGACCCAUUUAUCAAAAGAUCUUGCUUCCGUUAAGUAUGUUAAAUUACUGUUCGUUUAUAUCCAGUCGUCCUGGUGUAGUGGUAUGUGUCGUGGCUUGAUAUGCUAAAGGUCUUGAGUUCGAAUCCCAGCAUAUACACUGGAUUUUUUCUACGUGAAUUUUGAUACAUAGUCUUUUCCGUAUAAUUAAUUAUAAGUUUUACAGUGGAUGUGUCUUUCCCGCCAAAAUGUUUCAGAAUAAAGGAAAGCAUGCAUAACAAAGACCAUCAAACUGGGGUGAUCUGGUAGGGGUGAUCCGGCUCAGAUCACCC
rnacentral:lncRNA from 1 species